CCCUCUCACCCCCUCAGCUGCAAAACUUCCUCGGGCGAGAGCGUGACCUUCUUUGCUGGUAAUUAAAGAAACCUUUUGCCUCAACGAAGUUUCAAUACUUUAUUAAAAUCAGGCACCGCUAGAUGGCAGUAGCGCUUCACUAUAUUGGAUUACAGCUCGACAACAUACUGAACUUUGCUCUUGGAGUCUGCCAAGAAUUCAAUGCAGCAACAUGAGAGGGAUCAGACCUACAGUGUGAAACAUUGAUCAUGUGACUCAGAUGUCAGGAGUAAAUAGGACCUAUGCCGUAGCCUCUGUACCAUAGGCCAGGGGUCUCCAACCUUUAAGUCAGCAAGGGCUAUCUUACCAUAAGGGCUACCAAAGGCUUGUAAGCAGUAUCCAAGUGUGUAGCAGUGCAACAGUCAACGAAGAAGCAGCUUGGUCAGCUAACGCACUAAAGAUGAAGAAGCAGCAGCAGCGAUGGAGGUAAAUGUGACCGAUCAUGGAAAGUAGGGACAACAUCCAAAAAUAAACAGGACUUUUUUCCUUUGUGUUGAUCACAAGUCGAAUCCAGUCUGUUUCAGAUGUGUGAAUCAUCCAAUGACCAUUUUUGUCCACAAAUGCGUAUAAUCUGUGAAAUAUAGAUAUAUAGUCUAUUGUUUACAUCAGAUUUCGCAUGACCGUCUUUUAAUUGAAUAUAAUAUACAAUCUGAGGACUUUUUACGUCUUAACACUGUAAAGCACUUUGUAUGACCCUGUGUAUAAAAUGUGCUAUACAAAUAAACUUGCCUUGCCUUGCCUAUAUGAGAUUACACUUUAGGUUCCGGUAAACACAUGAACCCGCCUUCAAAGUUUGUAUUUAAAAGUAGGGAGGUAGUAUAAUAGAUAAUCCAAACAGCACUGUCGAAAACGUGACGUCCUUUUCAACCAAUCGAUCGCUCGUUCCUCCAUCAGGCAAUGACUUCAUUGAAAAUACUGAUAGACAAAACAUGUAGCAAAUUAGAUAACGAAUUCAACAAUCUUUGUGUGACUUUUUUGUGUAUUCGACUUCAUGCUGCGCUGCAAGAACUGACAGACAGAUGACUUCAAAGUACAGCGAGAGCG